rnacentral:lncRNA from 1 species
UGAUAUGUCUGUGGAAUUGAUUCCAUCAAUUGCUUUUCUUUUUCUUUCUCCACAACCCUCCCAAUAGUUUACCAAUGCCACGUAUCCUUUGGGUAUUAUUCUUUCUUGCAGCAAUUAAGCAAAGAAGAUGCUUGAAUUAUACUAAUAGAAAACUUCCUUCACCAAUUCAAAGGACAUGAAGACACUAUUUAAACCUACCCGUUCUUCUAUAGUCGAGUAGCU